rnacentral:rRNA from 1 species
UACAGAGGGUGCGAGCGUUAAUCGGAAUUACUGGGCGUAAAGGGCGCGUAGGCGGCUUGGUCAGUCCCGUGUGAAAUCCCUCGGCUCAACUGAGGAACUGCACGGGAAACUGCCUGGCUUGAGUUCGGGAGAGGGAAGCGGAAUUCCGGGUGUAGCGGUGAAAUGCGUAGAUAUCCGGAGGAACACCGGUGGCGAAGGCG